rnacentral:snoRNA from 1 species
CCCCUUGAUGAUGAAGAGAUGAUCCAGUACAUCAUAACUGGAUUGGGAGAAGGCUACAGUGAGGUUGUUUCAGCCGUGUGCGCACGGGUUGAACCAAUCUCGGUGGGAGAACUAUACUCGCAAGUCCUGAAUUUUGAAG